rnacentral:rRNA from 1 species
CCUACGGGUGGCAGCAGUGGAGAAUAUUGCACAAUGGGGGAAACCCUGAUGCAGCGACGCCGCGUGAGUGAAGAAGUAAUUCGGUAUGUAAAGCUCUAUCAGCAGGGAAGAAAAUGACGGUACCUGAGUAAGAAGCCGCGGCUAACUACGUGCCAGCAGCCGCGGUAAUACGAAGGGGGCAAGCGUUAUCCGGAUUUACUGGGUGUAAAGGGAGCGUAGACGGCAGUGCAAGUCUGGAGUGAAAGGCGGGGGCUCAACCCCCGGACUGCUCUGGAAACUGUAAGGCUGGAGUGCAGGAGAGGGAAGUGGAAUUCCUGGUGUAGCGGUGAAAUGCGUAGAUAUUGGGAGGAACACUAGUGGCGAAGGCGGCUUACUGGACUGUAACUGACGUUGAGGCUCGAAGGCGAGGGGAGCGAACAGGAUUAGAUACCCCAGUAGUC